ensembl:lncRNA
CAGCUCGCAGUUGACGACACUCCAGAGACGGAUGGAGCUCAUAGUUAGCCAGCUAGCUUGUCCUUCUGCUAGCGCUCAUUUCCUUUGACCCGUGAACUUGGAUGCUAAUCCCACCAUAAGGCUGGAGUGGUGACAGACAAUAAGCUGUGACUGUCGGUUGAUGGUAGAGUGCUUCCCUACGCUGUGGAUGAAGGAUUAUGUUGGCAGAUAUCCUGCAGCGCAGCGUUACUUCGCGCAGAUGCAGAGUCAUGUCAGCAAGCUCCUCUUUUCCUCCUUCCGACUCCACCAGUCUCUAUUAUUUCCUGCAGAACUGCUACAGAAGUCCAGCCGGCGCCUCCAGCAAGGCGGCGAGCCACUCCGACGUCUUCACCUUCCAGAUGGUCGCCAUCGAGCUGAUGAAUAUCUGAACGCAAGUGGCCAGCAGCUGUUUCACACUCUGACCUGUGUGGAGCGCUACCUGGCCGUCGUUCACCCCGUCACCUACCUGGGCCUGAAGAACCAGAAGUGGAUCAGAGUCAGAAACGUCUCCAUCGGAUUCGUUUGCCUGCACUGCUUUGCAAAUAUAGGUUCCCUAUACGUGGUGGAAUCAAAUUCAAUCAACAUUUUCUUUUAUUUAUUAUUAUUCUUUGGCCUUCAUCUUCAUCAUCGUCUCCUGGCCGGACAGCGGGUCGACCGAGCAGAGAAGAGAGCGUUCUACACCAUCCUGGUCAUAGUGGGGGUGCUGUUGGUGAGGUCUGGGGGGACUGCGGUUUACUGUGCAUCAUUUAACCAUCUGCAUCUUGAGUCUGAGAAGUGUACGGCGUGGUUGUUGACAUGGUGGUCGUCUCUGCCGGGCAGCCUGGUGUUGCCUCUGCUCUUUCUACACCGGGCAGGAAAACUCCUGUUUUGUAAGAACAGCAACAGAUGAGGUUAAAAUCCGCAGAAAAUACCAUUUCUGUGCUCAUUUUGGUAGUUUUAAAUCUCUUUGUGGAUAUUUUGUGUUGUAGUGCUCAAGCAUUAUCUUUUUUUUAAAUUAUUUUAUUCUGCAUUUCUUGUCUCCUUGUUGGUAGACGUC